GCAUCCUUUGCUGAGGAUACGGUUAACGGAGCGAAAGCGACGUUCAACCGCAAAAGAAGCAGAGGGGGCUUAGUGGUGGGGUGACUGCGUACCUUUUGUAUAAUGGGUCAGCGACUUAUAUUCUGUAGCAAGGUUAACCGUAUAGGGGAGCCGGAGGGAAACCGAGUCUUAACCGGGCGUUAAGUUGCAGGGUAUAGACCCGAAACCCGGUGAUCUAGCCAUGGGCAGGUUGAAGGUUGGGUAACACUAACUGGAGGACCGAACCGACUAAUGUUGAAAAAUUAGCGGAUGACCUGUGGCUGGGGGUGAAAGGCCAAUCAAACCGGGAGAUAGCUGGUUCUCCCCGAAAGCUAUUUAGGUAGCGCCUCGUGAAUUCAUCUCCGGGGGUAGAGCACUGUUUCGGCUAGGGGGCCAUCCCGGCUUACCAACCCGAUGCAAACUGCGAAUACCGGAGAAUGUUAUCACGGGAGACACACGGCGGGUGCUAACGUCCGUCGUGAAGAGGGAAACAACCCAGACCGCCAGCUAAGGUCCCAAAGUCAUGGUUAAGUGGGAAACGAUGUGGGAAGGCCCAGACAGCCAGGAUGUUGGCUUAGAAGCAGCCAUCAUUUAAAGAAAGCGUAAUAGCUCACUGGUCGAGUCGGCCUGCGCGGAAGAUGUAACGGGGCUAAACCAUG
rnacentral:rRNA from 1 species